rnacentral:misc_RNA from 1 species
CCUGUGAAAGCGUUUUGGCUACUUGAAAGCUGUUGGAAUGAACUCAAACGUGUGCUUUCAGAACUUGGAUCUAUGUUUUCACUACCAUUAUCCUUCACUUCACUUUCAGUCUUGUCACCUUCUGCUGCUUUUUUACUCUCUGUCUCUUCUCCACCCACUGCUUUUUCAUUCUCAGUCUUAUCAGCUUCUGCUGGCUUUUCAUUAUCAACCUUGGAUUCAGUUGCCUCAUUGACUACAUUAUUAUUCUCCUUAUCCUCUGUGAUCUCCACCUUUGCAGCAGUUUCAGCUACUGGCUCUUCAACCUUGCUUUCUGACUCCUUACCAGUCUCAUCUUUAUGCCCUUCAGUUUCUUCACCAGCAUCAAUUCUCCCAUCUUCUGAAACUUUCUCACUAGCAGCAACUACUUCAGCUGUUGCCACAGCAGGGGUUGUUGUUGGUUCAGUAGGAGGGACCAGCUGAAUCCCAGCAAAUGGAUUAGAUGAAGGGGUUGAUGAGGUCUGAUUGCGGCGAACUUUCACAAUUCGUCUGCUAGCCAGCACCUCAUCACUUGCCUUCUUGAAAGUUCCAGUCUCUUGCUCUGCAGAAUCUUCCUCAUCAUCAAGACCAGGGUUGU